CCUACGGGAGGCAGCAGUGGGGGAUAUUGUACAAUGGGGGAAACCCUGAUGCAGCGACGCCGCGUGGGUGAAGAAGUAUUUCGGUAUGUAAAGCCCUAUCAGCAGGGAAGAAAGAAGACGGUACCUGACUACGAAGCCCCGGCUAACUACGUGCCAGCAGCCGCGGUAAUACGUAGGGGGCGAGCGUGAUCCGGAUUCACUGGGUGUAAAGGGAGCGUAGACGGCCGUGCAAGCCAGGAGUGAAAGCCCGGGGCCCAACCCCGGGACUGCUCUUGGAACUGUGCGGCUGGAGUGCGGGAGGGGCAGGCGGAAUUCCUGGUGUAGCGGUGAAAUGCGUAGAUAUCAGGAGGAACACCGGCGGCGAAGGCGGCCUGCUGGACCGCGACUGACGUUGAGGCUCGAAAGCGUGGGGAGCGAACAGGAUUAGAUACCCCUGUAGUC
rnacentral:rRNA from 1 species